rnacentral:rRNA from 1 species
UACGGAGGGUGCAAGCAUUGAUCGGAAUUACUGGGCGUAAGGGCGCGUAGGCGGACUAAAAAGUCGGAUGUGAAAUUCCGGGGCUCAACCCCGGAGCUGCAUUUGAAACUUUUAGACUAGAGUAUAGUGAGGGUAAACGGAAUUCCACGUGUAGCGGUGAAAUGCGUAGAUAUGUGGAAGAACACCAGUGGUGAAGACGGUUUACUGUGCUAUAACUGACGCUGAGGCGCGAAAGCAAGGGGAGCAAACAGG